AAUGAACGUUGGCGGCGUGGAUUAGGCAUGCAAGUCGCGCGAGAAGUCAUUUAGCUUGCUAAAAGACGGACAGCGGCGGAAGGGAGAGUAACGCGUGGUUAUGUACCCUCGAGACCGGGAUAGUGUCGGGAAACUGGCAGUAAUACCGGAUAACAUCUUCGGAUCAAAUGGUGUGGUUCCGCUCGAGGAUCGGACCGCGUACUAUAAGCUAGUUGGAGGGGUAAUGGCCCACCACGGCGUAGAUGGUGACCGGGUGUGGGAGCAUGGCCCGGCUAACUGGGACUGAGACACUGCCCAGACAUCUACGGAUGGCUGCAGUCGAGAAUCUUCGGCAAGGGACGAAAGUCUGACCGAGCGACGCCGCGUGCGGGAUGAAGGCCUUCGGGUUGUAAACCGCUGUCAGUUAGGAGGAAAUCCAUGAGGGUUCUCUCUCAUGGUUGACCGAUUUUCAGAGGAAGGACGGGCUAAGUUNGUGCCAGCAGCCGCCGUAACAC
rnacentral:rRNA from 1 species